GUUAAAAAGCUCGUAGUUGGAGUUCUGCCAGGUGACACUCGUCCGCCCAAGUGGUGUGUACAGGGCGUGCAUCUGGCCCCUUCAAGGGGAACGUGUUGCACUUUAUUGUGUGGCGCGAGAUCCUUGACUUUUACUUUGAGGAAAUAAGAGUGUUCCAAGCAGGCUCUCGUCGUGCAUAGCUCAGCAUGGAAUAAUAGCAUUGGACUUCGUUUCUACGCUGUUGGUUGCAAGAAGCGAGGUAAUGAUGAAGAGGGAUAGUUGGGGGCAUUCUUAUUUAACUGUCAGAGGUGAAAUUCUUGGAUUUGUUAAAGACAGACUACUGCGAAAGCAUCUGCCAUGGAUGUUUUCAUUGAUCAAGAACGAAAGUUAGGGGAUCUAAAACAAUCAGAUACCGUCCUAGUCUUAACUAUAAACCAUGCCGGCUAGAGAUCGGAGGUCGUUCAAUUUGUGACACCUUCAGCAUCUUGAGAGAAAUCAAAGCCUUUGGGUUCCGGGGGGAGUAUGGUCGCAAGGCUGAAACUUAAAGGAAUUGACGGAAGGGCACCACCAGGAGUGGAGCCUGCGGCUUAAUUUGACUCAACACGGGGAAACUUACCAGGUCCGGACUUAUUAAGGAUGUACAGAUUGAUAGCUCUUUACAGAUUCUAAGGGUGGUGGUGCAUGGCCGUUCUUAGUUGGUGGAGUGAGUUGUCUGGUUAAUUCCGUUAACG
rnacentral:rRNA from 1 species